CAAUAGCGUAUAUUAAAGUUGUUGCAGUUAAAAAGCUCGUAGUCGGAACUUGAGGAGCGGGCGCUCUUGGUCUUUCCGGGAGGUCUGUACCGAAGUGCCCACCUCGUACUUCCAGAACGUCGCCCUCUGCUCUUAACUGAGUGGGGGGUGGCUCUGGAUCGUUUACUUUGAAAAAAUUAGGGUGUUUAAAGCAGGCUAAAAGCGUUAGCCUUGAAUAGAUUAGCAUGGGAUAAUGGAAUACGACUUCGCUCGUGUUUUGUUGGUUUACCGGGCGAGGUAAUGAUUAAUAGGGACAAUCGGGGUAAUUCAUAUUUAAUUGUCAGAGGUGAAAUUCUUAGAUUUCUGAAAGAUGAACGUCAGCGAAGGCAUCUUACAAGGGUGUCUCCAUUGA
rnacentral:rRNA from 1 species